ACCAAUCAUAAUUAUUCCCUUAAAUUACAAGAAACACAUCCAAACAACAUGGCAGUGGGCACCAAAUAUUAACUAAUUGAAUACAUGUCUAUAAGUAGCCAUUACAAAAUUCUGAUAUAUUUUAUUGUACCCAACUUCUGGGACUUCAUCUUUUUCGUAUAACUCAUGGCUAUCUCUUCCAUCAACAUUUAUUUCUCUACAUUUUAAACAUAGGUCUUUAUAGCAAGGCACUGGUCUGGUCAUGUAUUGCCUCGCAUCAGUAUGUGCCUACACACCACCAAAAUUGAAGACAAGCAUCCAUGUAAAAAUGGAUAAUAUCAUCAUUAUCAUCAAAACCAUACCAAAACGAUGACAGUAGUAAUAAUAGAGAUCUGCGCUUUACAUAAUCCCAAAGACAGAACAGUUCGAGUCACCUUUUUUCCUUGUUAAACUUGGGCAUUAAUUGUUAACUGAACAUCAACCAUUAAUAUAUUGUUUAUAACUGAACAGUAUGAAUGCAAAUUAAAACUUUUAGAGGCCCCUUAUGUUGUUUAUCCACGUGGCAAAAGCAAAAUUCGUCUAACAUAAAACUAAAUUACCAUUAAUAUAUUCAACUCUUCAACUUAGCAGUUUUCACCUUUAUUACACCAUGAACAAUGUUGUAAAUCCUUUUAUUUAAAGCCUUCUAAAACAAAAAUAUACACCCAUAAGUUAUGAUAGUUGGGGCAAUUUUUUAGCAUACAAUAAAACAAUAAGUACACAACAAAAUUAACAAAAAUUUUACUAGCAGAUUCUUAGGCCACUUCCCGUUCAGAACACUCAUAAAUGUUUUGACCUCUAUAAACAGACUACAGAAUAUGACAUUUUACCAAACACUUAAUGUGCAUUACACACACAAACACUUCAUUUCAAAAUACUCAAAACAAUAAACAUGAAUUUACAUCUAUAAACAUGAAAUCAACCACAAACUGAUGAUUAUUAUAAUAUAAGAAAAAUAAAAAAAGUUAAUUACAAUCUAUUAGAUAUACUCAAUUGAGGGUUUUUUCAUAGUCCAAUUCGGUAAUUCAUGAGCCAUAGAUUCUUAUUCUAGUACAACAUAUGCCUAUUUUAAAAUUGCCCAUAGACAUGUUCAAACCCUAGCCUUAAUUCAUGGAAUGAACAACACAAAAUCAAAACAAUUGACGUACCAGUAGUUAGUAGAUGUUAUGUGCGUGGGUUCUAGACCCUUGUGAUUCGGUGUUGCCUUUAGGCGCUUAAGCUGUGUCGUUUUACUCUAUUUUUAGUUGCUGUUUAUUUCGUUGACUGAGUCACUUAGAAAGGCUAGUGGGUAGUUAUGGAGUCUAUGUAGUCUGUUUGAGUCAGUUGUUGCAGUUCCUAAUUUCCGGG
rnacentral:lncRNA from 1 species